rnacentral:rRNA from 1 species
UACGUAGGGGGCAAGCGUUGUCCGGAUUUAUUGGGCGUAAAGCGCUCGCAGGUGGUCCGUUGCGUCGUGCGUGAAAGACCCCGGCUCAACUGGGGAGUGUCGUGCGAUACGGGCAGACUGGAGGUAUGCAGGGGAGAGCGGAAUUCCUGGUGUAGCGGUGAAAUGCGCAGAUAUCAGGAGGAACACCGGUGGCGAAGGCGGUUCUCUGGGCAUGUCCUGACGCUGAGGAGCGAAAGUGUGGGGAGCGAACAGG